UAAAAGGCUUUAUUAAAAGCCUCUUUUUUAAGCUUUAUAUAAAAUU
rfam:Nectria haematococca mpVI 77-13-4 chromosome 10 genomic scaffold NECHAsca_82_chr10_2_0, whole genome shotgun sequence.